rnacentral:rRNA from 1 species
UCGCUGUGAAGAUGCAGUGUACCCGCGGCAAGACGGAAAGACCCCGUGAACCUUUACUAUAGCUUGACACUGAACAUUGAGCCUUGAUGUGUAGGAUAGGUGGGAGGCUUUGAAGUGUGGACGCCAGUCUGCAUGGAGCCGACCUUGAAAUACCACCCUUUAAUGUUUGAUGUUCUAACGUGGACCCGUAAUCCGGGUUGCGGACAGUGUCUGGUGGGUAGUUUGACUGGGGCGGUCUCCUCCUAAAGAGUAACGGAGGAGCACGAAGGUUGGCUAAUCCUGGUCGGACAUCAGGAGGUUA